UUGUUCAUAGGUCCCAAUCGGCACAACAGCUUUGGAAGUUAUGCUUGGACAAGUUUGGAACUUUUAGGCCAGAUGGUAUACUUUAGACAGGAACGGUCAACCUAUUCUCUCAUCUCUUGCAUCUGAAGUCACAGCUAAAAAUGGCUUCUACAACACUUCGAUUAAGACUGAUCCUGAACAAGUCUACGCGAUGGGGUUGUGAAUCCCAGGUGCUAAACAAAAGCUUUGUUGGGAUUUUAUCAAGGUCCAAGGAUGCAUCAGACCAGUUAAUACAGAGAUGAGCCAACCAGAGAGCAGCAUUUCACACUGGUCAGGUAGAGGUAAAACCUCUAUGUAAGGCAAGCUACUAUAACCGGCUCUUUUAGACCAGUGGAUUUGGAUUCAGUUUCUGUUUGUUUUAUAGUUGGAGAUGUCAGCACAUAUUUAACAGCUUUUUGAUGAGUUAUUGGAGGGAUUGUCAGUUCGUAUGGUGACUGAUGUCUGAUGAUGACUAUGUAACACCUGUUUACAACAAAGUGUUGAUGACUAUGUGAAUUGCUGUCGUGGGAAGCAAGGCGGCUAUGUGUAUCCGCCUAAUAGUAUUUUCGGUGGGAUCUGUACCCUUUCAAUGGUGCUUUUGAUUUUCUUAAGUUAACGCCUCCUCGAGCAUCUCAGCUGCAAUCUACAUCUCCCCCAUGAUCAAUAAAGGUAACACACAACUGUUUACAUCAACUGGUUUAGCGGAAGGCAAGUCUAUGACAAAGAGAAAUAAAGGGACAGAGGAGAUGAUUAAGUUAGUGUUUUAGUUUUGUUUAAAGGAUAUUUAGUCUGGGACUGUCAUUGUUGUGAAUCAAAUAGGAGAUGGGAACGCUGAGAAGUGUCAGAAACGGAGAAGACGAGAAGCUACACCAAGUGUUUCGAAACACAUGGUGAAGGAUAAAGAGAUGAUUGCAGUCUCUUGGAAAAAUUGAGUAAUUGAUUACGAAGAAGAAGAGCACCAACUAGGUUUUGACGACUCUCUUUGAUUCCAAAGAUAUGGUUAGAAAGAAGCCUUCCGUGACACCAGUUCCUUGACCUUGAUUUGCUGUGAACUACAGCUUUUUAACGUGGAAACAACGGCAGGUUAGAUACAAUGAAACCUAUGAUAAACGACGACGGUUUUGAUGAAAGUGAACGACAGUGUUUCGUAAAUAACACGAUGACGUUUUGGAUAAGAAA